rnacentral:rRNA from 1 species
GACGAACGCUGGCGGCGUGCUUAACACAUGCAAGUCGAACGGAAAGGCCCUGCUUUUGUGGGGUGCUCGAUUGGCGAACGGGUGAGUAACACGUGAGUAACCUGCCCUUGACUUUGGGAUAACUUCAGGAAACUGGGGCUAAUACCGGAUAGGAGCUCCUGCUGCAUGGUGGGGGUUGGAAAGUUUCGGCGGUUGGGGAUGGACUCGCGGCUUAUCAGCUUGUUGGUGGGGUAGUUGCUUACCAAGGCUUUGACGGGUAGCCGGCCUGAGAGGGUGAACGGGCACAUGGGGACUAAGAGACGGACCAGACUCCAAUGGGAGGCAGCAGUGGGGAACAUUGCACAAUGGGCGGAAGCCUGAUGCAGCGACGCCGCGUGCGGGAUGACGGCCUUCGGGUUGUAAACCGCUUUCGCCUGUGACGAAGCGUGAGUGACGGUAAUGGGUAAAGAAGCACCGGCUAACUACGUG